rnacentral:rRNA from 1 species
AACGCUGGCGGCGCGCUUAACACAUGCAAGUCGAGCGAGAACCGGAGCUUCGGCUCCGGGGACAGCGGCGAACGGGUGAGUAACACGUGGGUAAUCUGCCCUCGGUUCUGGGAUAGCCCGGGGAAACCCGGAUUAAUACCGGAUAGCCUCUCUGGCCCUCGGGCCGGCGAGAAAAGGUAGCUUCGGCCUCCGACUGAGGAUGAGCCCGCGGCGGAUUAGCUUGUUGGCGGGGUAACGGCCCACCAAGGCGA